GACGAACGCUGGCGGCGUGCUUAACACAUGCAAGUCGAACGAUGAAGCCGGAGCUUGCUCUGGUGAAUUAGUGGCGAACGGGUGAGUAACACGUGAGUAACCUGCCCUUGACUCUGGGAUAACUGCGGGAAACUGUAGCUAAUACCGGAUACGACCCUCGGAGGCAUCUCCUGGGGGUGGAAAGAAUUUCGGUCAAGGAUGGACUCGCGGCCUAUCAGCUAGUUGGUGAGGUAAAGGCUAACCAAGGCGACGACGGGUAGCCGGCCUGAGAGGGUGACCGGCCACACUGGGACUGAGACACGGCCCAGACUCCUACGGGAGGCAGCAGUGGGGAAUAUUGCACAAUGGGCGCAAGCCUGAUGCAGCAACGCCGCGUGAGGGAUGACGGCCUUCGGGUUGUAAACCUCUUUUAGCAGUGAAGAAGCGAAAGUGACGGUACCUGCAGAAAAAGCACCGGCUAACUACGUGCCAGCAGCCGCGGUAA
rnacentral:rRNA from 1 species